AACCUCCGCAAUGUGAGAAAUCGCGACGGGGGGAUCCCAAGUGCCAUUCUUAACGGGAUGGCUUUUCAUUAGUGUAAAGAGCUUUUGGAAUAAGGGCUGGGCAAGACCGGUGCCAGCCGCCGCGGUAACACCGGCAGCUCUAGUGGUAGCAGUUUUUAUUGGGCCUAAAGCGUCCGUAGCCGGUUUAAUAAGUCUCUGGUGAAAUCCUGUAGCUUAACUGUGGGAAUUGCUGGAGAUACUAUUAGACUUGAGACCGGGAGAGGUUAGAGGUACUCCCAGGGUAGAGGUGAAAUUCUGUAAUCCUGGGAGGACCGCCUGUUGCGAAGGCGUCUAACUGGAACGGUUCUGACGGUGAGGGACGAAAGUUAGGGGCGCGAACCGGAUUAGAUACCCGGGUAGUCCUAACUGUAACGAUGCGGACUUGGUGUUGGGGUGGCUUUGAGCUGCUUCAGUGCCGAAGGGAAGCUGUUAAGUCCGCCGCCUGGGAAGUACGGUCGCAAGACUGAAACUUAAAGGAAGU
rnacentral:rRNA from 1 species